GGGGGAAACCCGGGCCUAGCGAACGCUCGUGCCCCCUUCGGUGGGGGCCGGGCAUGACAGAAAAGUUACCCCGGGAAUAACCGGCUCGUCGCGGGCGAGAGUUCACAUCGACCCCGCGGUUUGGUACCCAGACGUCGUCUCUUCCCAGCUUGGCCCUGCAGCAGGGGCCAAGAGUGGGGCUGCUCGCCCAUUAAAGGGGAACGUGAGAUGGGUUUAGACCGUCGCGAGACAGGUCGGACUCUACCUGCCGGGACCGCUGGCCGCCUGAGGGGAUGGUCCGCUCAGUACGAGAGGAACGGCGGGCCGUGGCCUCUAGUGUACCGGUUGUCCGGCAGGGCACUGCCGGGCAGCCACGCCGCAAGGGAUAACCGCUGAAAGCAUCUAAGCGGGAAGCCCACCCCGAGACGAGGCGGCCGCUCCCGGUCCG
rnacentral:rRNA from 1 species